UCAGCCGCCGCGGUAAUACCAGCUCUCCGAGUGGUGUGGACGUUUAUUGGGCCUAAAGCAUCCGUAGCCGGCUGAACAAGUCCCCUGUUAAACCCACCGAUUUAAUCGUUGGCGUGCGGGGGAUACUGCUUGGCUGGGGGACGAGAGAGGCAGACGGUAUUCCCGGGGUAGGGGUGAAAUCCUAUAAUCCCGAGAAGACCACCAGUGGCGAAGGCUGUCUGCUAGAACGCGCCCGACGGUGAGGGAUGAAAGCUGGGGGAGCGAACCGGAUUAGAUACCCGGGUAGUCCCAGCUGUAAACGAUGCAGACUAGGUGUUUGGACGGCCACGUGCCGUUCUAGUGCCGCAGGGAAGCUGUUAAGUCUGCCGCCUGGGGAGUACGAUCGCAAGGUUGAAACUUAAAGGAAUUGGCGGGGGAGCACA
rnacentral:rRNA from 1 species